AAGCGGCCGUAGCUGGCUAAGUAAGUCCCUUGUUAAAUCCACCGAAUUAAUCGUUGGAUUGCGGGGGAUACUGCUUGGCUAGGGGACGAGAGAGGCAGACGGUAUUUCCGGGGUAGGGGUGAAAUCCUAUAAUCCCGGGAAGACCACCAGUGGCGAAGGCUGUCUGCUAGAACGCGCCCGACGGUGAGGGAUGAAAGCUGGGGGAGCGAACCGGAUUAGAUACCCGGGUAGUCCCAGCUGUAAACGAUGCAGGCUAGGUGUUUGGACGGCCACGUGCCGUUCUAGUGCCGCAGGGAAGCUGUUAAGCCUGCCGCCUGGGGAGUACGAUCGCAAGAUUGAAACUUAAAGGAAUUGGCGGGGGAGCACCACAAGGGGUGAAGCUUGCGGUUUAAUUGGAGUCAACGCCGGAAAUCUCACCGGGAGCGACAGCAGUGUGAAGGCCAGAUUAAAGGUCUUGCCAGACGAGCUGAGAGGAGGUGCAUGGCCGUCGCCAGUUCGUGCCGUGAGGUGUCCUGUUAAGUCAGGCAACGAUCGAGACCCGCAUCCUCUGUUGCAACCAGCUUUGGGCUGGGCACACUGAGGAGACCGCCACUGAUAAAGUGGAGGAAGGAGCGGGCCACGGC
rnacentral:rRNA from 1 species